CCCCCCAUAGAGGAGGACCGUUCUUCUGUCAAGGGUAUAUGAGUAGCCGUGCUCCAUGCUGGCACCUCCAAACAAACUCUCAAGCUGUGAGUUUUGUGUGACACCUCGCAGGAUGGCUUGGAGGAUUUAAUGAAAUACAGAAUACGAAAACCGUACUUU
rnacentral:sRNA from 1 species